ACCUAGCAAUAGGUAUGCUUAGGGAAGAGCUUGCGUCACAUUAGUUAGUUGGUGGGGUAAUGGCCUACCAAGACGAUGAUGUGUAGCCGGGCUGAGAGGUCGAACGGCCACAUUGGGACUGAGACACGGCCCAAACUCCUACGGGAGGCAGCAGUAAGGAAUUUUCGGCAAUGGAGGAAACUCUGACCGAGCAAUGCCGCGUGAACGAUGAAGUAUUUCGGUACGUAAAGUUCUUUUAUUAGGGAAGAAAAGAUGGUGGAAAAACCAUUAUGACGGUACCUAAUGAAUAAGCCCCGGCUAACUAUGUGCCAGCAGCCGCGGUAAUACAUAGGGGGCAAGCGUUAUCCGGAAUUAUUGGGCGUAAAGGGUGCGUAGGCGGUUAAAUAAGUUUAUGGUCUAAGUGCAACGCUCAACGUUGUGAUGCUAUAAAAACUGUUUAGCUAGAGUUGGAUAGAGGCAAGUGGAAUUCCGUGUGUAGUGGUAAAAUGCGUAAAUAUACGGAGGAACACCAGAAGCGAAGGCGGCUUGCUGGGUCUUAACUGACGCUGAGGCACGAAAGCGUGGGGAGCAAACAGGAUUAGAUACCCUGGUAGUCCACGCCCUAAACGAUGAGUACUAAACGUUGGAUAAAACCAGUGUUGAAGUUAACACAUUAAGUACUCCGCCUGAGUAGUACGUACGCAAGUAUGAAACUUAAAGGAAUUGACGGGACUCCGCACAAGCGGUGGAUCAUGUUGUUUAAUUCGAAGGUACCCGAAAAACCUCACCAGGUCUUGACAUGCUUUUGCAAAGCUGUAGAAAUACAGUGGAGGUUAUCAGAAGCACAGGUGGUGCAUGGUUGUCGUCAGCUCGUGUCGUGAGAUGUUGGGUUAAGUCCCGCAACGAGCGCAACCCUUGUUGUUAAUUGCCAUCAUUAAGUUGGGGACUUUAGCAAGACUGCCAAUGAUAAAUUGGAGGAAGGUGGGGACGACGUCAAAUCAUCAUGCCCCUUAUGACCUGGGCUACAAACGUGAUACUAAUGGCUGUUACAAAGGGUAGCUAAAGCGUAAGCUUCUGGCGAAUCUCAAAAAAGCUAGUCUCAGUUCGGAUUGAAGUCUGCAACUCGACUUCAUGAAAGUUGGAAUCGCUAGUAAUCGCGAAUCAGC
rnacentral:rRNA from 1 species